AGUGAACGCUGGCGGUAGGCCUAACACAUGCAAGUCGAACGGUAGCACCGUAAGGGCUUGCCGUUAGGGGUGGGGGGGGGUGGCCGGGUGAGGAUUACAUCGGAACUUAGUUUUACGUGGGGGAAACCGGAGGGAAUCUCAGGUUAAUACCCCAUACGCCUUACGGGUGGAAGCAGGGGUUAUUGGGGCCUUGUGCGAUUGAGUGAGCCGAGGUCGGAUUAGCUGGUAGGCGGGGUCAAGGCCAACAAAGGCGACGAACCGUAGCUGGUCGGGGAGGAUGAUCGGCGACACUGGAACUGAGACACGGUCCAGACUCCUACGGGAGGCAGCAGUGGGGAAUAUUGGACAAUGGGCGCAAGCCUGAUCCAGCGAUACCGCGUGGGUGAAGAAGGCCUUCGGGUUGUAAAGCCCUUUUGUUGGGAAAGAAAAGCAGCAGGUUAAUACCCCGCUGUUCUGACGGUACCCAAAGAAUAAGCACCGGCUAACUUCGUG
rnacentral:rRNA from 1 species